rnacentral:rRNA from 1 species
GCACAAGCGGUGGAGCAUGUGGUUUAAUUCGACGCAACGCGAAGAACCUUACCUGGGCUCGAAAUGUACCGGAAUCCGGUAGAAACAUCGGCGUCUAGCAAUAGACCGGUAUAUAGGUGCUGCAUGGCUGUCGUCAGCUCGUGUCGUGAGAUGUUGGGUUAAGUCCCGCAACGAGCGCAACCCUUAUCUCCAGUUGCUACCAUUUAGUUGAGCACUCUGGCGAAACCGCCUCGGAUAACGGGGAGGAAGGUGGGGAUGACGUCAAGUCCUCAUGGCCUUUAUGUCCAGGGCUACACACGUGCUACAAUGGCCGGUACAAACCGCCGCAAACCCGCGAGGGGGAGCUAAUCGGAAAAAGCCGGCCUCAGUUCGGAUUGGAGUCUGCAACUCGACUCCAUGAAGCUGGAAUCGCUAGUAAUCGUGGAUCAGCAUGCCACGGUGAAUACGUUCCCGGGC